GGUCACAAACGAAGUCGCUGAACCUAUCUUCUCUGUGUAGGUACUGGGUUUUGCCACGUGUGCCUCUUUCGGAGGAGAGAGUUCCGGUGAGAACUGAUCAUGAGUCCCCGUAGGUAAAUCGCUUCCCAACUCACUCUCGACUUUCACAUCAUCACUUCUUGCCGGAAUAUCUUUCCCUGUUUCAGACUCGUUCUUCAGACCAAACUCAUGGCUUCUUGUCGGAAAGUCACUUUCAAAUCCUCGUCCUGGUUUCUCAUCUGUCACUUUCAUCCUACCGAGAGACUCAACAAUCUCAGGUACUCCAGCUUCUCCACCUCCUACACAACAAGAGUUUAAAGUUUCAUAACAUAAACCAUUCGGACACGAUCCUUAAGCUCCUAAAUAAAACCUCAUUGUUUUAGCAAAAAAAAAAUAAAAAAAAAUAAAAAAAACCUCAUUGAAUGUUGUUACCUGCAUGAGUGGGAUCAGUAACCUUGGACUGAUAAUUAGACACGCCACUAAGAUAACUCGACCCUCCUCCUGGACCAGCUGGAUCUUCCUCCAACUCUUUAGGCCUCUCGACGUUGACUUUCCCUUGACCACCGAGAUAUUCAUCUUCACCAGGAGUGAUCGUCCUGGUCACAUCCUCUGUUGAGGAUAACAGAGACGCAGGCGUCUUCAUUGGUGUCUGAUGAGUAUCUCUCCACUCAUCCCUAUCCGAAAUAUCUGCCGGAUAAGACGCUGCCUCGUGUCUAUACAAGGUUUCUCGUAAUGGCUCAGGUUCAACGGGUUUGGUGUAAUCUGAAGACACCACCGGAAAAGCUUUUGUCCCUGGUGGAACGAUCCCCUCAGGUGCCGGAACACUAGCUUCUCCGGGAUGACUCAGUGACUCAGGUUGACGCGUUACACCGCCUUUAGUAUACACUGUGCCAUAUAGAUAUGAAUUAGAGAAACCGUUAAUGUUAUAAAAACAAAAAAAAAAACGCUAUGGUUUUUCUUUCAGGCAAGGGACAAACCUGGCUUGCCGUGCAAUUGUGGGUCUUGCUCGUCAUAUUCGUCGUCUUCUAUUUCGACAUCAUGAUCGUGCUCAUGACCGUGACCAUGUUUGGUAAGACUGUUCUUGAUCUUCUUAGCUUUUUCUUUCACUUUCUUCAACACUUUAGUUGCUCCUUUCUCUUGAUGCUCUUCUUCCUCUGUUCCCACAAUAUAUUAGACAAAUAAACAUAUAUGAUCAGCUUGGUUUAGUAAACAUUAGUUUCUGGUUUAAUUUAAUAUACGCUCAAUUUAAAGUGAAUGAAGACUAAUAUACUCAAGUUUCUCUCUCGUUCUGUUAUGAAUUCGAAAAUUUGAAAUAUUGAAAUUAAAAAUCUACUUGCGCAUAUGUAUAUACCUGGAUGGUGAAUUCUGAUUGGAUCCUCAGCUUGAUCAUGAUCAUAAGAACGUGUCAUCUGUGACUGCAUAUCCAUUUUCCAACGCUGUGUUUUCUUUCAAGGG
rnacentral:lncRNA from 1 species